AUGGGGUCUGAGAGCAUUGAUUGCCCUGAUGAGCUCCACCUGGGGUCUCCCACAGUGCCCUGGGCUCAGGAGCCCUAUUUGAACCUAAAGUAUUCCUCUUCUUACACAGUGUCUCUGCAGUGCUUUGCCUACUCUAUUUCUGUUGCUGGGGCAGGAAACAACUUUUUUGUGAGGAGAAAAUUAGUGAGACCUGUACUGGGCAGUUACUGUAUGACUGCACUUCAGAAGCCAAAGGGAGGUGGGAUGCAGUUUGUCACUGCCUGUGAGGACUGGAGCACCUACAGGAGCCAGUGCCUUGGGAGAUGGUCGUUUGCUGCCCUUUGAGCACAGCCCAGACCUUUGAAUAUUUGAGAAUAUUGUUUCCCAAGAUGAAGAAAAAUAAUCAUUCAAUGUGUAUCUGUGAUUCUGCUGUCAGAGGCUUUUCUGCUUUCACUCAAGCUCAAUCCUGAGGUGGCUGUUAACUUCAGUAAAGGUAAGAUGAUAUACUUGUUGCUUUGUUGUGUUUUUCUCACAAGAACAACCUGGAUGUGUCCUUAGAUUUGCGGCAGAGUACUACUGGGAUUGGCAGCAGCAAGACAAGGUAAAAAAAUCCACGAAACAGUAAAACGUUUAUUGAUGCACAGUGUAAAUGCUUCAUGGACUUUGUGACAGCUGAUGGAGAUGUAGUCAUAGCCAAGCUGAAUUUCCACUUCCAUGGACAGAUGUGCUGGGACAAUGUGCUCUGUAUUUAGGUGUUUUCACUUCCUUGCCUUGGACCAGGAGGGACUUGCUUGAUUAUGGGUGAAGCAGCUGUUCUUAGAUUUUGUGCUCAAGCCAUGGCAAUUUAUUUCUGACAUUUCCUCCUUAAACUGCUCUGUGACAUGUUCCUGCCUAGUGGAGGUGUCAGUACUGAACCAAGCACAUGUAGCUCCAAAAGCUCCAUAUGCUUUAGAGGGUGAGAGAGGUUCUAAAAUGUGUCAGCCUUUGCUGCACUAAAGGGUUUGACUUUAAUGCCAUACUUGUGAUAUUUCUUCUAAUUAAGAAGAGUGAGGAAUACUACUAAUUCAAUAGUAAAGUUAAUUAGCAAGACUAUAAAUGUUUAUUUGUUUUUUAAUAGCAACAAAUGCUAUAAAUUACUCCCAUGUUUGUCUAUUGUAAAAUCCUGCUGUUAGAGUAAUCUGUGAUGUAGCUUUUUCUUACAAUAGAUGUUGGCAUUGCAACAGCAUGAAUAUGAUUUUGGCAUGGAUUGUGAAAUAACCAUGUUAAGUGUUAAACCUGUUAAAUUUUUGAAUAGGACUCGUCAUGUGAGAAAGAUUAAAUGUCAUGUAUAUUGAUGUAUAUUGAACUGCUUAAUGUAAUCUGUAUUUACAAUCAGAAACCUGCUUUUGCAGGCAUUUCAAAUUUACUACAAUAAAACUGUAAGAGCU
ensembl:lncRNA